GUCUUAGCUCAGUGGUAGAUCAUCUGUCUUGCAUACAGAAGGCCCCAGGGAGGGCUGGGAGAGACC